UGAGUACGAGCUGCUACGGCAGCGAAGUGGGUGAUGUCAAGCUUCCAAGAAAAGCCCUAUACCCGUUAAGGCAUGACGGCCUGUACCCGAAACCGACACAGGUGGGGUGGUAGAGAAUACCGAGGGGCGCGAGAUAACUCUCUCUAAGGAACUCGGCAAAAUGGCCCCGUAACUUCGGGAGAAGGGGUGCCACCGCAGGGUGGUCGCAGUGAAGAGGCCCAGGCGACUGUUUACCAAAAACACAGGUCUCCGCUAAGUCGCAAGACGAUGUAUGGGGGCUGACGCCUGCCCAGUGCCGGAAGGUUAAGGAAGCUGGUCAGCGCAAGCGAAGCUAGCGACUGAAGCCCCGGUGAACGGCGGCCGUAACUAUAACGGUCCUAAGGUAGCGAAAUUCCUUGUCGGGUAAGUUCCGACCCGCACGAAAGGCGUAACGAUCUGGGCGCUGUCUCGGAGAGAGGCUCGGCGAAAUAGAAUUGUCUGUGAAGAUGCGGACUACGUGCACCCGGACAGAAAGACCCUAUGAAGCUUUACUGUAGCUUGGUAUUGUGCCCGGGCUCUGAAUGCGCAGGAUAGGUGGGAGGCUUUGAUCCAUUGCUUGUGGGUAAUGGUGAGCCACUGGUGAGAUACCACUCUUUCAGAGCUAGGGUUCUAACGGUCACCCGUUAUCCGGGGACCGGACAGUAUCAGGUGGGCAGUUUGACUGGGGCGGUCGCCUCCCUAAAGGUAACGGAGGCGCGCAAAGGUUCCCUCAGGCUGGUUGGAAAUCAGCCGACGAGUGUAAAGGCAGAAGGGAGCUUGACUGUGAGACCUACAAGUCGAACAGGGACGAAAGUCGGCCUUAGUGAUCCGACGGUUCUGAGUGGAAGGGCCGUCGCUCAACGGAUAAAAGUUACUCUAGGAUAACAGGCUGAUCUCCCCCAAGAGUUCACAUCGACGGGGAGGUUUGGCACCUCGAUGUCGGCUCAUCGCAACCUGGGGCUGAAGUCGGUCCCAAGGGUUGGGCUGUUCGCCCAUUAAAGCGGUACGCGAGCUGGGUUCAGAACGUCGUGAGACAGUUCGGUCCAUAUCCGGUGCACGCGCAGGAACAUUGAGAGGAUUUCUCCCUAGUACGAGAGGACCGGGAGGAACGCACCUCUGGUGUACCAGUUAUCGUGCCAACGGUAAACGCUGGGUAGCCAUGUGCGGAGCGGAUAACCGCUGAAAGCAUCUAAGUGGGAAGCCCACCUCAAGAUGAGUGUUCCCAUGGCAUAUGCCAGUAAGGUCACGGGAAGAACACCCGUUGAUAGGCUCUACGUGGAAGCGUGGCAACACGUGAAGCGGAGGAGUACUAAUAGACCGAGGGCUUGAGC
rnacentral:rRNA from 1 species